AGAUGGGCAUCGGCAUUGUGA
rnacentral:miRNA from 1 species